AUCUUAAUUUGACAACCAAAUCUGUUAACUUUUUCUUCUACUUCAAAGUCCAAAAUAAAACCAAAACAAAUAAAAUAUUUUGAUUAUUUUUAUUUAUUCAUAACAACACAGGUUUAUGCGUGCGGCAAUAUGAACAUUUUACCAAAAAAAAGAUGGCAUGUCCGUACCAAGGAUAAUAUCGCUCGAGUGAGACGAGAUGAAGCUGAGGCUGCUGAAAAGGAGCGUGAACGUAUUCAAAAACAGGAAUAUGCGGAGAGUGAAGCCCGAUUAAAUGUGUUAAGAUCCAAAGCAAACCCAGUAACCAACUGUGACUCUACAUCAAAACCCGACUAUGGUGCAACAGGAACAAUUACCACACCCGAUGGGCAUGUUGAUCUUUUCUCAGAUUUUCAGUCACAUAUUAAAACUGUAAAUAAGGAGCACGAAAAAGAAAAGAAAGAAGAACGAGAAAAGUAUGAGAAACAAAUAGGAUAUCUUACAUAUUUAGGUCAGGAUACCAAUGAGGCGUUAAAACUUCGUAGCUGGUACGAAAACCCACCAAAACGAACAGAAGUCGGUGAAAUUGAAGUAGUUGAAAAGGAUUUAAAAACAAAAUACCUUCAUGAUCCACUCACUUUGAUAAAGAAACUAUUGCCAGAAGAGAAAUUCAAUAAAAUUGCAAAAGCAGAUUCGGAAACGGAUCCACUUAUAAAUGAAACUGCAUUAAAAAAACUACACAAAUCAAAAAAGUUAAAAAAACAUAAAAAGGAAAAAAAGAUGAAAAUAAAAAACAAGAAAGAUGAUAAACACGUCGACAACCAGAAAAAAAUCGAUGAGGAAGAGUCUCAUAAGAAAGAACUUAUAGAUAGGUUAAGAAGGGAAAGACUCAAACGCGAAGCGCGAGAACGAGCUCGCCAGGAAGAACUCUUAUGUCCGAAAGUUGAAAAACCUAAGACUGUAGACGAAGUUCGUGGCAUCCCUCGAAUAGUUCAAAAAUACAACAGCCAAUUUAAUCCACAAUUAGCAAAACAGAAUAUGGCCUAAAACAAAAUAAACUGGAAGUAAUUGGAAUGGUUAAGUUGUCUAGAAUGAUCUACCAUAUAAAAUCAGUGACGUUUAUUUGAUUAUUUGUAUUGUCAUUAGAAGGAUUAAUUCUAAAAAUAAAAAUGUACAGCGUUACCAAUUCUAAAUAAAGUGGAAGUAGUUUUUAGGAAAAAAGUGAAGUCGAUUGGGAAAAUGUAAGUAGAUUUCAAAAAUUAACUUUUUCAUAUUAUUCCACAUAUUUUUAAAUUACAUUAUUUCACAAAAAAAAAAAAAAAUAGAAUUAUUUAAGCCUUCAUAUCAUAUAAUUCAAUAUGUUAAUGUGACAUUUCUUAAAUUAAUUCUUGGUUGUUGGUAACGAAAACGCAAAGAUUGGGCUCGUGUUGGUUAAAUGAAAUGACUAGGAUAUUUUGAUUGCAAAGGACGAGUUCUACAAGAAAUAGUUAUUGUAAUCGUAACACAAUUUCAGUACAUCAACAAACCUUUUACCUUUGUUUUUGGACAACUUGAAAAUGUCUUUUCAUAUUGAAAAC